GAUGAGCACGCGUCCCAUUAGCUAGUUGGUAAGGUAACGGCUUACCAAGGCAACGAUGGGUAGGGGUCCUGAGAGGGAGAUCCCCCACACUGGUACUGAGACACGGACCAGACUCCUACGGGAGGCAGCAGUGAGGAAUAUUGGUCAAUGGGCGCAAGCCUGAACCAGCCAUGCCGCGUGCAGGAUGAAGCAUCUAUGGUGUGUAAACUGCCUUUGUACGAGAAGAAACACUCCUUCGUGAAGGAGCUUGACGGUAUCGUAAGAAUAAGGACCGGCUAACUCCGUGCCAGCAGCCGCGGUAAUACGGAGGGUCCAAGCGCUAUCCGGAAUCAUUGGGUUUAAAGGGUCCGUAGGCGGUUUUGUAAGUCAGUGGUGAAAGCCCAUCGCUCAACGGUGGAACGGCCAUUGAUACUGCAAGACUUGAAUUAUUAGGAAGUAACUAGAAUAUGUAGUGUAGCGGUGAAAUGCUUAGAUAUUACAUGGAAUACCAAUUGC
rnacentral:rRNA from 1 species